rnacentral:rRNA from 1 species
CGACGUAAAGAACUUGCCUCACAGCUAGGGACAACAUUUAGAAAUGAAUGCUAAUACCUGAUAUUAUGAUUUUAAGGCAUCUUAGAAUUAUGAAGGCUAUAAGCACUGUGAGAGAGCUUUGCGUCCCAUUAGCUAGUUGGAGAGGUAACAGCUCACCAAGGCGAUGAUGGGUAGCCGGCCUGAGAGGGUGAACGGCCACAAGGGGACUGAGACACGGCCCUU